GCCUGCACUGGGCCUCGCGGUGCCACCUAGCUCCCGGCAAAGGCAUCUGCAGGGCGCAGAGCCGGGUUCAGAGGGACCUGCUGGAAAUUUGGAAGUUUUAUUUCUUAUUUAUUUUUUGGAGCCCGCGCCUUGGCCGGCUUCCAGGUCAGGACCUGUACUGCCUCAGCACCACAUGUCACCAGGAUGGGCAGUCAUCUCUGAACUCCCUCACGGGAGUGCUGCAGCUCGUGUCAACUCCUUUCUCAGCAUUUGUGAAAUCCUUGAGUCAAGUAAUCUGUGUGUGACAUCAUGGGGUCGGUGUCCAUGGCAAUACCAAUUUUUGUUUGGAAAAUUUUAUUUUGAGCAUCAGCUGAGUAUUGUGCAUGGUGAGAGGAUGGAGUUGCUCCCUUGGGGCCGUGUUUCUGGAAUGGCAGAGGCACAUCCCACCCUGAUGCUGCACCGGCUGGGUGCUACCCUGCACAGUGGGCUGAACCCCACCCACACUGGCCCACGUGGACACGCAUUUCUUCCUUCAGAACGGAUUCCUGAGCACCUAUUGUGUACAAAGCAGAGCGGGUAAGACAGAGCUGGCCUCCACCCUCCUGAUCCACAGUUCACUGAGAGAACUGGAGUGUAAAACAAGGAUUGCAGAGAGGUUUCCCGCUGCAAUGGGCACCAGAAAGAAGAGACACAAGGAGUUGGAGGAAAAAAAAACAGGUCACCUGCUGUGGGGUGCCCCUGGGAGGGGCCACGGGGAAGUGGAGGCCUUUGACCCCCAGCCCUCUCUGCUAGGUCCGUCUCUGCUUCCCGCCUGCUGAAGGAAUCUGGGUGGGCAGAAUGGAAGGGGAGGAGGCCCAGGUUUGUCAAAGCAUGAGGCUCAGCAGGGUUCAGCCACCAUGGAAGCCUAUCCCUCCCCAGGCGACCAGGCCAGCUGGCCAGUGGGCUCUCUCCCACUGAGGCUGUGCACUGUUUGGGGUACGAGAGCUUGUGUUGAUUUGUCCCUGUCUUGGACCCUGACAUUAUGAUCCAUGCAGUGCUCCCCCUCCCCUGGCUUCCACGCUCAGGGCAAGUGCAGAUCCCCACUUGGCAGUCUGUGCCCACCUUGCCCCAGCUGUACCCUCCUCCUGGAUGCUGCCCUAAAUGCAUGAACCCAGGCUGCGCUCGCUGCCUGCAGUGGGGUUGGGUGGUCCAUCUUCUUACAGCUUCAAGCCUUGACGUUUGGGUUUGCUCUUCUUGUGGGUAGUUGGGCAUGCGGGCAGGGAAGUCUCAACUCUUCUCUCAUUUAUGUGGCUUUCUCCUGGAGAAAAUACUCACAGAUGAAUUCAAUCUAAAAUAUCAAGAGAACAUAUUAACUCGCUUUAAAAGAUAACUGCAUUUUAUGAAAAUACUUCAGUUGUUUCUAAUACAAUUUAGAGAUUAAAAUAUUAAGAUAAAAACUCAGAGACGGGGCUGGGGUUACAGCUCAGGGGUGGAGCGCUUGCCUAGCAUGUGUGAGGCAUGGGGUUCGAUUCUCAGGGCCACAUACAAAUAAAUUAAAGUCCAUUGAUAACUAAAGAAAAAGUAAAAAAAAAGAAACUGAAUAUUCCUUAAAAAACAAAAACAAACAAAAACCCUCAGAGACAGACAAACAGGAAUGACACAGAACUCAGGAACAAGGAGGUCUGUCACGAGUGACUAAUUUCCUUUUUCUGUGAUUCCAAGGAUGUUUACCGAGCACACACUGUGAGACAGGUGCUGUGACAGCCUGUCCCUCUGUCCAUCCCUUCCUCUCUUGCCCUCCCGCCCCUCUCCCUUGCGUGGAGCGUUGUGGGGCAGCCGUGUCCGUGGGGUGGUGCAGGGUGCUGGGGUGCUGUGGUGGUGGAUGUGGUUCCUGAUUCUGUCAAGCACAGCAAGAGAUCUGGGGGUGAAGACUUGGCCACACCCACCUGUCACAGGGGCCCUGGUGCAGCUUCUUUGGGGUGCAGAGGAACUUCUUCUGGGAGCCUCCCCAGCAGUGGUGGAAUCUGAUUUCGGCCUUGAAAAGUGAGUGGGAUUCUGCCAGAAGGCAAGGGAGGAGAGGGCCCCUGGACAAGGAAAUGAACGCAAGGCCCAAAGAUCGGGGCCAGGCCUUGUGUCUGGGUCUUCAGGGUGGCUCUGAGGGCAGCCCUCUGCUGAGCCCUCUAGAACCUCCCAUGAACCCCACACACUUGCCAGCCACUUGUAUAAUCCACCCGGAGUCUGAUUUUGCUCUUUUCGGGAGAGUUACAAUUCUAUAAGCAAACACAGGUGCACGUCAAGGUCUUCACCACAAGAGUCCACGAUCCUGGGUGAGAGGAAGGGGGCUUUGGAACAAGGGACCCUGGUGGCACCUGCCAGCUCACGGAGGAAGGCAGCACAGCAGGGAGCCAUUGCACUGACCCAGAAGUUCAUCCAGUAAAGGUGCCUCUCCCUGGUCAGAGACAGGCGCUGGGCCUUUCUGCACCCUGGACUACACUUGGGGCUGCUGGAUCACACCCAGUUCACACAGAACCUGAGCCAAUCCCGAGCCAGCCAGCCACCAGGCUGUUCUUCGAUGUUGAGUCAUGAGGGCUGCAGAGAAGCAGCCUGACUCUUCCCACGGUAGCUUGGCCCUGAUGAAACAUUGCCAUCUGCAGUGAUGGGACAUUGUGCACUGAGGAAAGCAGACCUUGCGGCUCAGGCAUCCCGUUCUGCCGGCUGUCAGUGACCAGGUCUCCCCCACCUUCUGUGCCUCCUCCCCACGUGGAGCCAGACAGAAGCCAGCAGGAAGAACGUCCAGCCUCAGACUGGGUCCACCUGGUGAGCCACAGGAACCUGCUGAGAGCAUGGGGCUCCUGCUUGUUGAGUCAGGCAUGGCAAUUGUCACCUCCAAGAAACCCAAGGAACAGCAGGGUUUGUGUUCAUGUCAUUCUGGUGAGUAUUGUGGUUGGCCUGAAGGAGAGGGGCUAGGCUGGCUUCUGUCUGUCCCUGGGGUCUGUUGGUCCCAAACGAAGCUGUCUAGUUGACACCAGUCUUCAUCUAUCAGGUGUCUGCUCUGUGGUUGAGCACAGGGGCACUGAAGAGUCAGAGACAAAGGAAACCUGCCCCUGGUCCCUGGUCCCAGGUUUGGAGGGAUACUCAUCUGGGCAGGGAUGACUCAGUGCAGUGGGUUGCAAGGGCAGUGGGUGCUGGGUAGUUGACCAACUCAAGGUCUUUGCCUUGUCCUAAAAUUGGGGAUUGGGCUACAGGCCCUCACCCACAUAUUUCAAAGCAGUGCUUGACUCUGGAGGAGAGCUGGUUGACAUGAAGGAGUCAGGAUAGAGGGGGUUUCCCACCAUUUCUGAUGGCCUCCUUCCGAGGCUCAGGGAAACGGAGUGGUAGGAACCCACAUGUCAGCUGAGUGUGGUGACACAUGCCUGUAAUCCCAGCAACCUGUGAAGCUGAGGCAGGAGGACCUUAAGUUUGAGGGCAGCCUGGACAACUUAGGAAGAUCCUGGGUCUGAGUAAAAAAUAAAAAGGCUGGGGGUAUAGUUCAGUGGUGGAGUACUAUGUUCAGUUCAAUCCCCAGAAAAGAAAAAGAAACCCAUGUGUCAGCUCGGGUGCCUGGGUGGGUGGCCCAGAGCCUCUGCAGGGAGCAGGUUCUGCAGAGGAGCUGAGCAUCAGCCCCCUCCUUGGAGCCAGCACAGGGUGUCACUGACCAAGACAAGCACUGUCACCUCAUCCUCCUUGGAACUCAGGACAGAAUGGGAACUGUGCGGGUCAGGAGGGUACUGGCUGGAAACCCGAGAGCACACUGUCCUCCUGGCCAUUCUUGGGGUUGCUGGGCUAUCCUCCAUGACUCCCAGGGUCUUGGUAGUCCAGGGAGAAGGAAGAGAAAAGAGAAAGUGAAGUUCAUGGACCAUCAGCUGGUCAGGAGGCACAGAGAAAACCAAACCAGAGUUUACCCAGGGAAGGUGACUUGAAAAAGAUCACAGUCCUGACUUUUAAGCCUGGACAAGAUAUGCUUACUGGUGACAACACGCAGCAGAAAUCAAAGCGGAAGGGACAACUCGACUUGUCAGGAUUUUAAAGAGUGUGCCCGCUGAAUGACACUGGCGGUGUAUUCCAAGAGCUGCAUGUGCAGGGAAAGGCUGGACUCCAUGCCCUCGGCAUGCAGACCACAGCCAUCCCUGAUACCAUGAAGUAUUUGAGAACAAGGAAUGUAGUCCACAAUGACAGGGACAGAAACAGCCCUACAAAGAGUAGCCCUGCUUAGGUGCUACUCUUCAAAGUGAGCAGUCCUGGGGUUUGGUUUUGUGAGCAGGUCAAUGUUUCCAAUUUUUCUGAAUUUUAUCAUUCACUCAUUUGCUGUCAUUGUUUUUCAUCAGCGGAGGUGGCCAGGAAUGCCUGUCUCUUGGGGGGGCCGGGCGUCAAGUCUCUUGAGAGGGAUUUAAAACAGACCUGCAUUGUUCUUUCAUAGGUGGGCAGGUGAGACAGCAAUGUCCAUCUCUUGUGGAUCACGAUUUAUACUAAAGAAUAAGAAAUUUUAACCUUGGUGCAAGAAUCAAAUUGCUCAUGAAAAUAGCGGAGUCUUCCAAACUCCAGCACAGAUGCACCAUCAGCAACGUUUGCACACACACAGCCGAAGUGCUAAAAUUCUAAGGGAAAUAAACAUUCGGCACAUCUAGCACGUGCCUGACGGUUGACGUCUUGGUAUUGGGGUUUUCCAUGUUCCGCUAAACUUCAUCAUGAUCUUUUUGGGAAGAGCCAGCUAAUUUUCCCAAUUAUGCCGACACUCCCCCUCCGCUGCCCGCUCCGCUGUCCCCUCCGCAGUCCAUUCUGCGGAACCGCUGAGCACGGAGCUCAGGCCUCUCAGUCUCUCAGGUGAAAAAGGAGGCUCCCUCUUGGGCAGCGCGGGGCUCUGGGGAAGACAGCUGGUAGCUCUCAGUCAAAAACGGACGUCCUGGGUCUCAAUCGCCUCGUCGUUGAGGUUCAGCUGUCCCCGGGAGGGCUGGACCAGCGCGUGGGCCCUGGCUGUCUCUGGGCGCGGGGACAUCCUGGAGCCUGCGUUUUCAGCUCUUGUGGUCACCUGCAAACCAGCGCGGCCCUUCCCAGCUCUCGGCCGCCCUCCCGCUCGCGACCAGCUGGGCAUUUUUGUGCAUGCAAGACCUGCCUUCGCAAUGAUCUUAAGAUGUCACUGUAGCGUUUACAUCUUUUAUUUCAAGAUUUAAAUAACUAGGAAGUUGCUAAUGUAAUUCACUGCUGAGAAGAAAGGCCAGCUCCUUGAUUUCUUUCCAAAGCCAUCUCCUCCUAAUGAACUUCUUUGGACUAGGGUGCCUCUGCCUGGCCUUUAUUGGUGCCCUGUGUGUCUGGGUCCGUGGUGGUGCUCUGGAGAUUCCCGAGGAGCUGGAGAGCAGCCGGGAGCCUUCUUCUGUAAGGGCCAGGUAUUCUCAGGUUCCUGCCCAGGCCCUGCCGUUGAAGACUGAAGACCAGCACGGGUGUGUGGAAACACACAAGUGUGGCUACAUGCUCACAAGUUUAUUUAUGUGUACUG